AACGAACGCUGGCGGCAUGCCUAACACAUGCAAGUCGAACGAGAUCUUCGGGUCUAGUGGCGCACGGGUGCGUAACGCGUGGGAAUCUGCCCUUUGGUUCGGAAUAACAGUUGGAAACGACUGCUAAUACCGGAUGAUGACGAAAGUCCAAAGAUUUAUCGCCAGAGGAUGAGCCCGCGGAGGGUUAGCUAGUUGGUGUGGUAAAGGCGCACCAAGGCGACGAUCCUUAGCUGGUCUGAGAGGAUGAUCAGCCACACUGGGACUGAGACACGGCCCAGACUCCUACGGGAGGCAGCAGUGGGGAAUAUUGGACAAUGGGCGAAAGCCUGAUCCAGCAAUGCCGCGUGAGUGAUGAAGGCCUUAGGGUUGUAAAGCUCUUUUACCCGGGAUGAUAAUGACAGUACCGGGAGAAUAAGCUCCGGCUAACUCCGUGCCAGCAGCCGCCGUAA
rnacentral:rRNA from 1 species